GACGAACGCUGGCGGCGUGCUUAACACAUGCAAGUCGAACGGAAAGGCCCUGCUUUUGUGGGGUGCUCGAGUGGCGAACGGGUGAGUAACCCGUGAGUAACCUGCCCUUGACUUUGGGAUAACUUCAGGAAACUGGGGCUAAUACCGGCUAGGAGCUCCUGCUGCAUGGUGGGGGUUGGAAAGUUUAGGCGGUUGGGGAUGGACUCGCGGCUUAUCAGCUUGUUGGGGGGGUAGUGGCUUACCAAGGCUUUGACGGGUAGCCGGCCUGAGAGGGGGACCGGCGACAAUGGGACUGAGAUACGGCCCAGACUCCUACGGGAGGCAGCAGUGGGGAGUAUUACACAAUGGGCGGGAGCCUGAUGCAGCAACGCCGGGUGCGGGAUGACGGCCUUCGGGUUGUAAACCGCAGUCGCCUGUGACGAAGCGUGAGUGACGGUAAUAGGUAAAGAAGCACCGGCUAACUACGUG
rnacentral:rRNA from 1 species